rnacentral:sRNA from 1 species
UCCGUAGGUGAACCUGCGGAAGGAUCAUUAACGUGUUCUUCGGGCCGUUGGGUCGGCCCUGCACCGGCGGAGACGCCGUGAUGCGGGCUCCCGACGCGCCUUCCACACCAAACCCCUGUGAACCUUUGGGAGGGCUCGAGAGGGCCGUCCCCUUUACAAACUCUUGUCAUUUAUAGAAUGAACGCGGACUCUGUCCGCCUAAACAUGUAACAACUUUCAACAACGGAUCUCUUGGCUCUCGCAUCGAUGAAGAACGCAGCGAAAUGCGAUAAGUAAUGUGAAUUGCAGAAUUCAGUGAAUCAUCGAAUCUUUGAACGCACCUUGCGCCCCUUGGUAUUCCGAGGGGCAUGCCUGUUCGAGUGUCUUGAAUUCUUCGCCCCUGCCGGUUUUGUAACGAGACCGGGAGGAAGGCGGACGUGGGGGCCUGCCGCGGCGACGCGGCUCCCCUCAAAUGCAUCGGUGGGGCUUCCGAGCGUUCCACGGGCGUUGUAUUGUCCUCGUCCGACACUGGGCCUCGUCACCCGCCUCGACCUGCCGUGAGAGCGGCGGUCAAAGCACUUUGAAAUCUGACCUCGAAUCAGGUAGGACUACCCGCUGAACUUAAGCAUAUCAAUAAGCGGAGGAAAAGAAACUAACAAGGAUUCCCCUAGUAACUGCGAGUGAAGCGGGAAGAGCUCAAAUUUGAAAUCUGGCGGUUCUGCCGUCCGAGUUGUAAUCUGGAGAAGCGUUUUCCGUGCCGGACCGUGUACAAGUCCCUUGGAACAGGGCGUCAUAGAGGGUGAGAAUCCCGUCUUUGACACGGACUCCCGGUGCUCUGCGAUGCGCUCUCGAAGAGUCGAGUUGUUUGGGAAUGCAGCUCAAAAUGGGUGGUAAAUUCCAUCUAAAGCUAAAUAUUGGCGAGAGACCGAUAGCGAACAAGUACCGUGAGGGAAAGAUGAAAAGCACUUUGGAAAGAGAGUAAAACAGUACGUGAAAUUGUUGAAAGGGAAACGCUUGAAGU